ensembl:lncRNA
ACACCUCUGUCUACAGGUCUUGCUGCUUUGAUGGGACUCAGGUUGGGUUAGUUUGAGAGGGAGGCUGGACCAGGUGAAGAGGAGGAGGGGAGGGGCUGGACCCACUCACUGCUCCUGUUCACCACUGAUCCCCAAUUGGUCCGGGAACGGGUGGUUCCUUCUCUCUACUCCUGCUCACCAACCAAUCAGCAUUUCAGCAACUGCAAAAUUACAGCAACGAGGGAAGUUUUUUUCUCUUUGUUUCUCUCCGUUUCAUCUCGAGAAAAACAGGUUCUCCCUCAAACCUGGACUCUCCCACCUGUGGUUGUGAAUGACUGCCUCCAAACAGCUGCAGAGGGUAUAGAUGAUCCAUUCUGCUUUGACCAAUAAUACAAGAGCAAAGCUGUGGGUGAGAUACAGAUCUUCUGGAUACAAAGCUUCAGCACAGCCAUCGAAUCUCUGUGGUAUUGAAAGAGUCUGGAGGAAAAGAAUGGGACCAGGACACAUGACAUGCCUGUGCAUCCAACAAAACGUCUUUUGAGCUCUUGAUUCUGUGUGUACAGAGAAUGUUUUGCAAAACAAAAAAAAAGAUUUACAGCAACUUAUUUUCAAAAAAAAAAUGGGGGCGGAUACCAGCCACUCCUCCCUUCCUCGUUUUUCAGUGUUUAUUGUAGUUGUCCAUGCUUGUCUGUUCAAAUAGGAAGACGCAUCUGUCUUUCUGUUUGAACUGUAAAAGAAAAACAUUGCUGUAUGAAAAAAAAAAAAGAAGAAAAAAAAAAGGACCUAAAAUUCAGACUAAGUGAACACUGUAUGCUGCUGGGAUGAGAGGCUUCUCCUGUGUACUGGUAGUGAUGUUGGCUGAUAGGCCCUGAUCCAAUCCUGUCAGUAGCCCUGUGCACUAUAGCUCCUGCUUGGCCACUAAACAAUUUGUUUACAUCCUGGAUGAGUUUAGCCUCACAGAAUUAACUUGUUUACAUCUACGGCUUUGAGUCCUCACACAGUUCAGAGUUAGCUACCAAACAUUCUGAUUCACGGCUUACCAACUGUUUAAAGUGGACUUUGACGCCUGCAGUUCAGGUUUUCUAUUGAGUGAGGAUAUCGAUCCAGUUGAAUGUUAGUGUUACUUUAAAGGUGAAACAAAAAAACUGGCUUAAAGCUAUUACAACAGAUAUAAGACUGUGACAAUCAUGUGAUCUUGUGUCAUAGGAAGUCCUCGAAGUCCCGUAUUUAUUUAUUUAUUUUUUAAAGAUUAACAAACAUAUAUAUAUAUAUAUAUAUAUAAAAAUUGUGUCUUUCUGUACACAUAAUAGCUAUACAAACAAAACUAUACUUCUUUUACUUUGCACAAAAUCUGCUAUAAAUUAAUGAAUUUCAUCAUCACUCGUUCAACUGAAGAAGAAGAAGACGAGGUUUUGGCAAAAUGCGUGGUAAAUGCAUUUAUUUAAAAAAACAAAACAGAACUAUCCAUUUAUUUCACUUUUACAGACUGUUAUGAUUGAUAAAAGCAACUCACAGUGCUAGAGAAAGCAAAUAUUUACUGCACUGGAAACAUAAAAAUGAGCAGCUUUCAAUGUGCGAAUAAACCAUUUUUGCUCCAACA